AAACCAUUUUACGGUCAUACAUCAUUCAUAGCCGUAAAAGCCAUUUGCCCUCUGUCACCCAACCAAUCAGGAUUCAGCCAAGGGGAAGCUGAGCAGUAGCCCGGCAGUUUUCUUUGGGCUCCUCUGCGUUUCCGCAACCUGGUUCAGCAGAAUGUCACAGAAAAUUAACUCCCCUGGGUUAUCAAGGACCCCUCCUCACUAAGGAGCAAUAUAGGAUUUCAGGCUAAUAUUUACCCCUCCCCAAGCAACACCUUGUGAUGUGCCAGAAGAGGCAGAAGCGCAGCAGGCAUCACACACAAGCCCUGGGUAACACCUGCUGCUUUGAACUGUUGGAAUGAAAGGCCGAGGAGGGGACGCUGCCAGUCCACGUCUCGGCGAUUCACUCCCGCUGCCCGCUUGGAGCAGACUUGAAAUUGAUGUCAGCGUCUAAGCCACCCAGCUGAUCCCAGAACCUCAAAAUUCCUCCAACGUUAUCAUGCAGAGCAAUUUACCUCUGUCUUGGACUACAUCUAAACGCCAUCAAAAUGGUCUAAGUAUUUGCUAAGAUGAAGGCAGUUCUCUCCCCUAAGAGGAAUUCUGCCACAGCUCACCUAAGGAGUUAUGUUGGAGAAUUCCAUUAUCCACUCUUUAUCCACC
rnacentral:lncRNA from 1 species